rnacentral:rRNA from 1 species
UACGUAGGGGGCAAGCGUUGUCCGGAUUUACUGGGCGUAAAGGGCGCGUAGGCGGUCAGCACAAGUCAGUUGUGAAAUCUCCGAGCUUGACUCGGAAAGGUCAACUGAUACUGUGCGACUAGAGUGCGGAAGGGGCAACUGGAAUUCUUGGUGUAGCGGUGAAAUGCGUAGAUAAUCAAGAGGAACACCUGCGGCGAAGGCGGGUUGCUGGGCCGACACUGACGCUGAAGCGCGAAAGCCAGGG